rnacentral:lncRNA from 1 species
GACCAGGAACUUCUGACUGAGAGCAGCCACGGCACCAGGAGAAGACACUGCCAGAACAAGCUUGGAUUUGUGCAGCAGGGACUGACUUUCUGAUGAAACAGAUUUAUAGGGAACAAAGGCCCAGUCAUCUCCCUCAGAAAGUCAUUCCCUGUGCAUGGCUGGCCUGAGCCAACAUACUGCGUGGCAACGUGCCCAUUGUUUGCUGUGAAUUUAGAACCUGAAGCUAAGGAUGAAAGCCCUUGUCAGCUGUGCAGGUUAGUGAACAGCUUUCGUGCAGACCUCGGGUUCCUUCGUGGAGAAGGAAAGAACACUUGGUCCUGUCACCUUGGUGUGUUUCUGUAUCACUGCUCAUUAUCUGCUGAAGAAGCUGCAAUGAUUUUUUCUCUCACCAGAGGCUUUUGCAGUAGUUUUCCACACACCCCUUUCCUGAAGCCACAGGAAGAACCACUGGUGUAAACACAGGGCUCUGCUCUGUGUAGCAGAGCUAUUGCAGUUUUGCUGUGCAUCUAGAGCUCUUGGCCUGCUGGGGGCAGGGUUUUUCAGCUACAAAGGUCCUCAAGAUAGAAAUGUAGGAGAGUGUUAUGCGUUGGUAACUGUCUCUAGUUCCUGUUGAUCUCCAGCUGCUUUUGGUGAGCUUGGUUCUCUCCCUGAUGACAGAGAAGUUUUAUUUUAUUACUGUAAAGCAAUCAGAGGGAAGGAGUAUGUCAGGUGAAGGGGCAACUGUAGCUAGUCUGGACAUAUCUUCUAGUCUUUUUUCAUUGUGUACAGCAUUGCCUUAACAUUUAAAAUACAGACAAAAAAAAAAGUUGGUAGGUUGUGAUGGUGGAUAACGUACCAUUUACAACCCCCCCCCCUCAAUCCUAAUCCCCAUCAGCCAGUUCUUAAGCCACUGAGCUGCUGGCAGCUGUGGUGUGAGAAAAUGAUACUGUUCAGGGUAGCUCUCUGGCACAGGCUGGGAUGAUAUUGGGGAAGACAUGAAAUUAAAAAGAGCUUGUUUAAAAUUGACUGCUGAUUACUCACUUCCAUAAAUACAUUGGAGCACAAGAAAUUUAUUGCACUUGGACAUAUUUGCAAGCUGCUUUUUGGAAAUGGACACAAAUACACUCUGAAUAAUACAGUUUUGCUGCUUGAUUGGCAGGCAAUCUCUCCAUGGUUCUACUGAAAAGCAACUUAGGCUAGUUUUUUCAGUAGGAUGGAUGUCAGAGCCUCAUUUUCAUUCUUCCUGUGAUGCUUAAGAAAUUUUGGAAAGUAGAAGAGAACAAAAGAGAGUGAUUCUACUGUAAAAUGCAAAGUCCUGGUAUUUUUCAUCAAAUUAGGAGUAUAGAAGGUGUUGGUCUGGAUGUUAAAUCACAGAGCAGACUGAAUUUCCAUAUGCAGUAGGAUGAGUGAAAAGGGUAUAGUAAUAUAGAUUAAAAUGUUCUACAUAAAAACUCCUUCUUGACCGUAGAACUAUUAAAUCAAAGAAGUAGAUAUCUAUAAAAAAAAAAAAAAAGGGCAUAACAUUUCAAAUCCCAUUGUAGAAAACUGUGAGUGGGAGAGUCCAGAGUUCUGAACACAGAUACCAAGAUCUUGGUAACCACAGGGUAAGAAGUCUGUGGUUUUAUUUCCCUCCCCCAAAAAAGUGAUACUGUUCAUGAACAUUCCAACUGAAGUUUGACAACAAGCAGGAAAUUAAACAAGUUAUCUCUGAAUUGUGUGCAAAAUACUCUAAAAUAAAGGAAGAAAACAGAAACCUAAUUACA